AAAACGACUCUCGGCAACGGAUAUCUCGGCUCUCGCAUCGAUGAAGAACGUAGCGAAAUGCGAUACUUGGUGUGAAUUGCAGAAUCCCGUGAAUCAUCGAGUCUUUGAACGCAAGUUGCGCCCGACGCCAUUCGGCUGAGGGCACGUCUGCCUGGGUGUCAC
rnacentral:rRNA from 1 species